rnacentral:lncRNA from 1 species
UCCUUUGAACUUAUCUAGCUCAGCUCCUUCUUCUGCACUUGUUGACUUUUGAACCUCUCUCUCUGGUCGACAACUGUCAACGCUACUCCACAACUACUUGGAGCUAAAGCCUUUGAGCUAGAACACCAACAUUCGAACCAGCGAGCUGAUACCGGGUCCUGGUCCUGGACUUUCUACUGGGCCUAAUCCAGUGCUCUAUCUUCUUCUCUGGUUUAUAAAACAAUAAUGUCUUCUUCUCUUGCAGACGCCAAGUAACUACUUUUGAUGUGUUUGUGUUGCCAUAGGAACUGAAAUGGGGUAAGCUUAUGAAUUGCCAGUUCCAGUUCUUGGGAAGUAUCAAGUGGAAGAAAGAUCGGAAGCAAGAUCGGAAGAGGCUAAAACAGAUGCCAGGAUACGGAACAGGAUCUGAAGCCAAAUGUGGUUCUUGUUGACGAACACCAAAAGUAGGGCUACCCUAGUGGGUUUAGUGAAAUUCUUUGGCUUCUACUAGAUGCGCUAUCUCGUACCUUAUGUUUAAGUCCUCAUGGCUAGGUCACUUUGGACUUUGUUCCUUCUUUUCUUCUAUGAAACCCCUCCCGCUAAUGAUUCUCUUCUGAAGCCCCAAUCUUGCUGGUAGAACAAAGGACUGGCUCUCAUCUCAGUGCUCGGUUGCCUGAGGCCUCUAUAGUCAGUUUCCGCAAGGGAAGCAAUUAGGUCUCCCGGCCCGGUGUUGGCUAAAGUGCAUCUACCAUUAACUCGAUCUGCCAUUAAGUAUCCAAGAGAAGAGGCUAGGUUGUAGGUAGGCUCUGAAACUCCAUUCUGCAAGUAAGUAAGCACAUGAAAGGAUUUGUUACCGCCGAGAGGUCGACCACUACAAGGUUAAGUUCCAGGGGGGCAAGUGCCAGUCCUCUUUUGCACUCAAUGCUGUUAU